UACGACUACAUAUCAGGCAUAUCAAUAAGCGGAGGAAAAGAAACUAACAAGGAUUCCCCUAGUAACGGCGAGUGAAGCGGGAAGAGCUCAAAUUUGAAAUCUUAAAGGGUUUCCCUUUACGAAUUGUAGUUUAAAGAAGUGUUUUCUGUUGGAGUUUCGGUAAAAGUUCUUUGGAAUAGGACAUCAUAGAGGGUGAGAAUCCCGUAUUUGACCGUUACUUUCCAGCUGUGUGAUACACUUUCAAAGAGUCGGAUUGUUUGGGAAUGCAGUCCAAGAUGGGUGGUAAAUUUAUCUAAAGCUAAAUAUUGGCGAGAGACCGAUAGCGAACAAGUACCGUGAGGGAAAGAUGAAAAGAACUUUGAAAAGAGAGUUAAACAGUACGUGAAAUUGUCAAAAGGGAAGCGUUUGACACCAGUGUUGUUUAGUUGAAAAUCAAUUCAAUAGUUUUUGAUUCUAAGUAGUAUUGACUUCAUCAGCUUGCUGCUUUCUUCUCAGAAAUUAUUGAAUGCACUUUUCAGUUAACAAGUCAACAUCAAUUUCUUUUGUUGUAAAAGGGUAAGAGGAAGGUGGCUUGCGCUUCGGCUCAAGUGUUUAUAGCCUUUUAUCUCUGCAAUCGGAGAGAUUGAGGUCUGCAGCGUAGAUCCUUCGGGGUUAGAUACACUUGGUGCUAAGCUAGUAGCCUUUUCAUAGACAACUUGUUGACUAUGCUCAGUCAUGUAGGCUUACUCGCUUAUGCUAUUUUACCUACGCUUAGGAUGUUGAGUAGCGACAUACGCAC
rnacentral:rRNA from 1 species